rnacentral:miRNA from 1 species
CCUCUAAGCCAUCUCUCCAGCCCAGUAAAUAUAUUUUUUAAAAGAAAAGAAAAUCUCUAGGCUGGAGAGAUGGCUUAGCAGU